rnacentral:rRNA from 1 species
AAGCAAAUUAUACCGUGAAACUGCGAAUGGCUCAUUAAAUCAGUUAUCGUUUAUUUGAUAGUACCUUACUACUUGGAUAACCGUGGUAAUUCUAGAGCUAAUACAUGCUGAAAACCCCGACUUCGGGAGGGGUGUAUUUAUUAGAUAAAAAACCAAUGCCCUUCGGGGCUCUUUGGUGAUUCAUGAUAACUCAACGGAUCGCAUGGCCUUGCGCCGGCGACGGUUCAUUCAAAUUUCUGCCCUAUCAACUUUCGAUGGUAAGGUAUUGGCUUACCAUGGUUUCAACGGGUAACGGGGAAUUAGGGUUCGGUUCCGGAGAGGGAGCCUGAGAAACGGCUACCACAUCCAAGGAAGGCAGCAGGCGCGCAAAUUACCCAAUCCCGACACGGGGAGGUAGUGACAAUAAAUACUGAUACAGGGCUCUUUUGGGUCUUGUAAUUGGAAUGAGUACAAUUUAAACCCCUUAACGAGGAACAAUUGGAGGGCAAGUCUGGUGCCAGCAGCCGCGGUAAUUCCAGCUCCAAUAGCGUAUAUUAAAGUUGUUGCAGUUAAAAAGCUCGUAGUUGAACCUUGGGCCUGGCUGGCCGGUCCGCCUCACCGCGUGCACUGGUCCGGCCGGGCCUUUCCUUCUGGAGAGCCCCAUGCCCUUCACUGGGUGUGCGGGGGAACCAGGACUUUUACUUUGAAAAAAUUAGAGUGUUCAAAGCAGGCCUUUGCUCGAAUACAUUAGCAUGGAAUAAUAGAAUAGGACGUGCGGUCCUAUUUUGUUGGUUUCUAGGACCGCCGUAAUGAUUAAUAGGGAUAGUCGGGGGCAUCCGUAUUCAAUUGUCAGAGGUGAAAUUCUUGGAUUUAUUGAAGACGAACUACUGCGAAAGCAUUUGCCAAGGAUGUUUUCAUUAAUCAGUGAACGAAAGUUAGGGGAUCGAAGACGAUCAGAUACCGUCGUAGUCUUAACCGUAAACUAUGCCGACUAGGGAUCGGGCGAUGUUACUAUUUUGACUCGCUCGGCACCUUACGAGAAAUCAAAGUUUUUGGGUUC